rnacentral:rRNA from 1 species
CGUGUAGGCGGCCAAACAGGUCCGUUGUGAAAACUGGAGGCUUAACCUUCAGACGUCGACGGAAACCGUGUGGCUAGAGUCCGGAAGAGGAGAGUGGAAUUCCUGGUGUAGCGGUGAAAUGCGCAGAUAUCAGGAAGAACACCAAUGGCGAAGGCAGCUCUCUGGGACGGUACUGACGCUGAGACGCGAAAGCGUGGGGAGCGAACA